CUGGUGGUGGUGGCAGCAGCGGGAGAGGCCCAGCAUGGCUAAGCAUGAAAGGCUGAUGGCAGCAGUGAAAGCAGAAGCCCAGCAUGGACAGGUGCAAAAUAUUGGUGGCAGAAGUGGUGGAAGAGGCCCAGCAAGGCCAGGGCAACCUUAUAUACCUGUCAAGUAUGAAGUAAGCCUCACUGAAUUUUCAGGAAACAUCUCAGUGGAUCAGGUUGCCAAUGUAAUCAUUGUUGCAUCUCAUAAGUAUUUUGCAAUGCCCUCUCAAAUGAUGCUGCCUUUUUGCAUUGGGGACAAGAAUUGCCUGUAAUUCUCGGAAGUUUCAUACACAGACAUCUCCGGAAGAACUGGAAAGCCGUUUGUUGCAUGCUCUGAGCUGCUUCAUUGAGUUCUUCUUAUACAUUCCCCCCCCUCAACUUGGGUGUUUCCUACAGAGGGAAAAGAAAUCAUGAGAACCUCUUCAAAAAGGCUGUUUAAGAUUGCCAAAUGUACAGCUGGCCCCUGCAGUUGUGCCUUUAACAGCAGCUUGAUGGCCACACGUUAGCUGGUGAUAGGGUUUUUCUUCAUGCUGUGAAAAGAGCUGCCUGAUGAUUUCUGCAGAGCUUUGAAAGGUGCAAAAGCCGGCUCAGACAUUCGUUUCUGGUCAGUUGGUAACUCUAAGAUUGACACUGCAAUGUUCUGCUAGAAGUUUUUCUUUCUUUUUUUAAAAAAUUGGCACAAAUUAUCCCUAGCUCGUUUUUAUUCCUCAGCCUGAUGAUGUAUCACUUUAAUUUGGAUGCAUUAAAGGCCUGAAAUAUUAAAAGUAAGGCUAACAGGGCCAAUUGAGGGCAGCAUCUUGUGACAUUUAUGCCCUUGUUCUCAAGAUUAAAUGCACAAUCAGCUCUAUUCCAGAAGGUAACUUUAUUAUGAAGGACACAUACCUUUUCUGAGGUAGGAAAAGAGACCCUCGCACUCAGUAUUCAAAGAAAACCUAAUGCAUCUCAUCUUCCAAAAUGUAUUAGCAAAGCCAAGUUGCCAUUCUGGUCAAAUGCUUCUGAGGGAUCUUCCCUGGGUUGGCAGUGCAGGGAGGGGCAGGGACAACGACUCAACAAAAUAGCAGUAAAAAGAGCUAUUGGCACAAAUCAACCUAUUCAAAAAGGAGAAGCCAUCCAAACCCUAACAGAGCCUCUGAUACUUCAUCAAACACUGUCCUGGGGUCAGCCUCACAGCUGUCCUGCUACUUAAGAAGAAAUCAAGGCUAUAAUGUCCCCAAAUAGCUUCUCUGCCCUUUGGCUGAGCAGAUCAGAAAAGAAGAAAAAAAGAUACAUCUUUCAGUUGCCAACUUCUGGUUGAAACUUCACAAGUCGAGUCCAGACUUGACGCUGCCUUUUCUCUUUGGAUGGAUGCAAAUAUUAUGCGUCUCUUGAAAAUUUAGCCAACAUUCACUGCUAUGAAAUGCUGAAUG